GACGAACGCUGGCGGCGUGCCUAAUACAUGCAAGUCGAACGCUGAAGGAGGAGCUUGCUCUUCUGGAUGAGUUGCGAACGGGUGAGUAACGCGUAGGUAACCUGCCUGGUAGCGGGGGAUAACUAUUGGAAACGAUAGCUAAUACCGCAUAAAAUUGAUUAUUGCAUGAUAGUCAAUUAAAAGGUGCAAUUGCAUCACUACCAGAUGGACCUGCGUUGUAUUAGCUAGUUGGUGAGGUAACGGCUCACCAAGGCAACGAUACAUAGCCGACCUGAGAGGGUGAUCGGCCACACUGGGACUGAGACACGGCCCAGACUCCUACGGGAGGCAGCAGUAGGGAAUCUUCGGCAAUGGACGGAAGUCUGACCGAGCAACGCCGCGUGAGUGAAGAAGGUUUUCGGAUCGUAAAGCUCUGUUGUAAGAGAAGAACGAGUGUGAGAGUGGAAAGUUCACACUGUGACGGUAUCUUACCAGAAAGGGACGGCUAACUACGUG
rnacentral:rRNA from 1 species